UCGUAUAGAGUACAUUUUAGCAACAGAGGCUCCAAAUAAUCAGUUGUAGGAGAUUUUUCCUCAACUCAAGGCAGAGAAUCAGUUAGCUAACGUUCGCUUAAUAACUGUAUUAAUAACUGUAUAAAUCGCUGAGAUGACAGACAACUAAUACUAGCGGGUGGUGGAGGACUGCUACAACAUCCAGAAGGGGUGCAGCUCUGCCAAACAUGGACCACAUCUGUUAAGACCUUCCUUGAUUACUAAGACAACUCAGCACAGUUCCAAAUACAACUCCUGCACAGUUGGCAGCUCAGGCCAGUUUGUAUCUAGCCUUACCUGGACAACAAAGUGCCGAAAUUAAUCCCAAAGCGCCGACACUCUGACACCACUGCCAACCCUCCCUAGAGGAGGAAGCGGACCACCGUGGCCCGUCCUUCCAAACCUUCUCCUGAACCCCCAGAGGUGUUGGCUCCCACUCCUCAGCCCUCCUCUCCAGUUGCUGUACAUCCAGAGGUGUUGGAUUUGUUCCCAACGCACCUGCUGACCUGCCAGUGAUCUCAAAUAUGGUCUCCAGCAGCCCCCAGCCCUCCACUGCCCCCUCAAACAGCCCCCUCAAAAUACAUAACCGGUCAGUGGAAGAGUACCAGAAUCUACCAUGAAGUGGUCCAUGAUACACUGAGCCGGUUCCUCUAGCUCCUGCCCUCAGCCUCUGCCAGCAAGCUGCAGCUGCCGCCUCCACCUGCGGAUUCUGGCAGACAGCUGAUGCCCGAACCUCCGCCUACAAUCUCCUCUAGCUCCUGACUUCAGCCUCAAUCAGCAUCCCGCAGCCGCCGCCUCCACCUACAGAUUCUAGCAGAAAGCUGCAGCCCGAACCUCCCAUCUUCAACCUCUGCCAGCAUCCUGAAGCCACUGCCUCUGCAGCCAGAUUGUGGCAGACAGCUGAAGCCGAACCUCCACCUGCAGCCUCCGCCUACAGCCUCUGCCAGCAGCCACCUUCAGUCCCCUGCCAGCCAUCUAUGCUCCCAGCCUUCACUUGCCACCACCUUCAGUUUCUGCCAAGAAAUUCCAUCCCCAGAAUCUAUUUACAGAAUCUGGCAGACAGCUGCAGCCCCACCCACAGUCCCCAUCUUCCACCUACAACCAUUGGCAGCCACCAUUAGCCUCAACCAGAUGACAACCAGAUGCAGCUCCACCUCACACCUGCAGUCUUUACAACCCAACCUAAUGCAAGUCGCAUCAUCUGCUUCAUCAGCCAUACUUCUCCUCUUGGAGUUCACAUUCAGAAGUCCCCAGCAAAAUGAGGGUGUUUCCAGCUGACAAAGAUGUUUGUUUUGUUCUCCUUUGCUUCUCUCUAUUAUAACUUUCAAAUGACUGAUAACCUGUGCAAACAAGGAAGUGGUAAACUAAAGAACCCACACACGCACUAAACUACAUUUCAGAGGCAUAAUAACACAUCAACAGCUCUUUAACUGGUUGUGUUUUGCAUAAUUUUCAGGCAGAUGUCAUCUGGUCACUCAGAGGAGUUCCCAAAGCCAUCAUCAAACGAACAGAGCUGGUAGAACACCAUGAAGAAUCUGAGUCAAGAUACACAUUUAAUGUGUUUUACAGUGUAAAAUGAUACUGAAUCAGUCACAGUUAGCUGUAGAUGUGCAUUCUAUUGAUUUUAACCCAGUUGUAUUCAUUGAGGGCAAAUUAGUACUUCUACUAUCAUUGCCUCCUCCAGGAAGCUAUAUCCAGAGCUAGAUAGAUAUUGUGGAUGUGGCCCUCGUCCCCUCGUCUCCUCCAUACUAGAAGCAUCUUCCAUGUUCUGUCCUCACUCCCAAACUCUCCCUGAGAAGUAGCACAUGCCAGAGAGCCAAACCUUUAAUUGUACCUUGCCUGCCACACCUGGAGGGAGUCUUUCUUUCUAAAGGAAAUCGAUAAACUUACCGAUUAUGGAUUUUAUGAAGAUGAGGAUGCUGAUGAACCGAUCAACAAAACUUUCUGGGAGAAUGAGGACAUUAACCCUUCCAUCUCAGUAUCAUCAUCAGUUUCUCCUCAUGCAGAUUAACUUACAUGCCCUAAGUGCCUUACAUUUCCAACCAUGCUCCCUUAAAAAGACUAGCAGUUGGCUUCCUCUAUUGCCAUUCUUUGUCCAUAAAAAGACUGUGCAUGGAUUGUGCUACUUUAUGUUACAGUAAUGAACCAGAAAUGCUGCAAUAUGCUUCAGUAGGCUUUAAUUUGAAUUCAGAAGAGACAUCUGAUCUUGUGGACAUUGGACUAUCAUAAACUUAUAGAUGUAUAGCAGAACGUAGCAGUUACAAUGCAAUAUUUUUUGUCUUAUGUCAGGUUUUGUAUUAUGAUUUAUCAAUGAUCAAGUUAUUUGUGAUUUAUCCCUUACUCACAAAUUAGUGUACUGCAUUGUAUUGUUUAUAUUUAAUUGUUCAUUUCCACUCAAUUAAAAAAUAGAUAAAUAAUUGGUGUCAUGAAAACAGUGAA